GGUACCCGGGAUGGUCCUAAGCCAUGCGAGUCAUUGUAGUAAUACAAGGCAGACGGCUCAGUAACGCGUAGUCAACCUACCCUAAGGACGGGGAUAACCUCGGGAAACUGAGAAUAAUACCCGAUAGAACAUAGCUCCUGGAAUGGUUUAUGUUUCAAAUAAUUUAUUGCCCUAGGAUGGGACUGCGGCCUAUCAGUUUGUUGGUGAGGUAAUGGCCCACCAAGACUAUUACAGGUACGGGCUCUGAGAGGAGUGGCCCGGAGAUGGGUACUGAGACACGGACCCAGGCCCUAUGGGGCGCAGCAGGCGAGAAAACUUUGCAAUGUGCGAAAGCACGACAAGGUUAAUCCGAGUGGUUUCUGCUAAAGGAACCUUUUGUCAGUCCUAGAAACACUGAUGAAUAAGGGGUGGGCAAGUUCUGGUGUCAGCCGCCGCGGUAAAACCAGCACCUCAAGUGGUCAGGAUGAUUAUUGGGCCUAAAGCAUCCGUAGCCGGCUUUGUAAGUUUUCGGUUAAAUCCAUGCGCUCAACGUAUGGGCUGCCGGGAAUACUGCAAAGCUAGGGAGUGGGAGAGGUAGACGGUACUCGGUAGGAAGGGGUAAAAUCCUUUGAUCUAUUGAUGACCACCUGUGGCGAAGGCGGUCUACCAGAACACGUCCGACGGUGAGGGAUGAAAGCUGGGGGAGCAAACCGGAUUAGAUACCCGGGUAGUCCCAGCUGUAAACUAUGCAAACUCAGUGAUGCAUUGGCUUGAUGCCAAUGCAGUGCUGCAGGGAAGCCGUUAAGUUUGCCGCCUGGGAAGUACGUACGCAAGUAUGAAACUUAAAGGAAUUGGCGGGGGAGCACCACAAAGGGGUGAAGCCUGCGGUUCAAUUGGAGUCAACGCCGGG
rnacentral:rRNA from 1 species